rnacentral:rRNA from 1 species
UACGAAGGGGGCGAGCGUUGUUCGGAAUUACUGGGCGUAAAGGGCGCGUAGGCGGCCGAUCAAGUCAGAUGUGAAAGUCCUGGGCUUAACCUGGGGACUGCAUUUGAUACUGAUUGGCUUGAAUUCGGGAGAGGAUAGCGGAAUUCCCAGUGUAGAGGUGAAAUUCGUAGAUAUUGGGAAGAACACCGGCGGCGAAGGCGGCUAUCUGGACCGACAUUGACGCUGAGGCGCGAAAGCGUGGGGAGCAAAC